rnacentral:rRNA from 1 species
UACGUAGGGUGCAAGCGUUAAUCGGAAUUACUGGGCGUAAAGCGUGCGCAGGCGGUUGUGCAAGACAGAUGUGAAAUCCCCGGGCUCAACCUAGGAAUUGCAUUUGUGACUGCACGGCUAGAGUGUGUCAGAGGGGGGUAGAAUUCCACGUGUAGCAGUGAAAUGCGUAGAUAUGUGGAGGAACACCGAUGGCGAAGGCAGCCCCCCUGGGUCAAAACUGACGCUCAUGCACGAAAGCGUGGGGAGCAAACAGG